rnacentral:rRNA from 1 species
ACGGGUGAGUAAUACAUCGGAACGUGCCCAAGAGUGGGGGAUAACGGAGCGAAAGCUUUGCUAAUACCGCAUACGAUCUACGGAUGAAAGCAGGGGACCGCAAGGCCUUGCGCUCAUGGAGCGGCCGAUGGCAGAUUAGGUAGUUGGUGGGAUAAAAGCUUACCAAGCCGACGAUCUGUAGCUGGUCUGAGAGGACGGCCAGCCACACUGGGACUGAGACACGGCCCAGACUCCUACGGGAGGCAGCAGUGGGGAAUUUUGGACAAUGGGCGCAAGCCUGAUCCAGCCAUGCCGCGUGCAGGAUGAAGGCCUUCGGGUUGUAAACUGCUUUUGUACGGAACGAAAAGCCUCUUUCUAAUAAAGAGGGGUCAUGACGGUACCGUAAGAAUAAGCACCGGCUAACUACGUGCCAGCAGCCGCGGUAAUACGUAGGGUGCGAGCGUUAAUCGGAAUUACUGGGCGUAAAGCGUGCGCAGGCGGUAAUGUAAGACAGAUGUGAAAUCCCCGGGCUCAACCUGGGAACUGCAUUUGUGACUGCAUUGCUGGAGUGCGGCAGAGGGGGAUGGAAUUCCGCGUGUAGCAGU